AACGAACGCUGGCGGCAUGCCUAACACAUGCAAGUCGAACGAGACCUUCGGGUCUAGUGGCGCACGGGUGCGUAACGCGUGGGAAUCUGCCCUUGGGUUCGGAAUAACAGUUGGAAACGACUGCUAAUACCGGAUGAUGACGUAAGUCCAAAGAUUUAUCGACCAAGGAUGAGCCCGCGUAGGAUUAGCUAGUUGGUGAGGUAAAGGCUCACCAAGGCGACGAUCCUUAGCUGGUCUGAGAGGAUGAUCAGCCACACUGGGACUGAGAACCGGCCCAGACUCCUACGGGAGGCAGCAGUGGGGAAUAUUGGACAAUGGGCGAAAGCAUGAUCCAGCAAUGCCGCGUGAGUGAUGAAGGCCUUAGAGUUGUAAAGCUCUUUUACCCGGGAUGAUAAUGACAGUACCGGAAGAAUAAGCACCGGCUAACUCCGUG
rnacentral:rRNA from 1 species